rnacentral:rRNA from 1 species
ACGGGUGAGUAACACGUGGGAACGUACCCUUUGGUUCGGAAUAACGCUGGGAAACUAGCGCUAAUACCGGAUACGCCCUUUUGGGGAAAGGCUUGCUGCCGAAGGAUCGGCCCGCGUCUGAUUAGCUAGUUGGUGGGGUAAUGGCCUACCAAGGCGACGAUCAGUAGCUGGUCUGAGAGGAUGAUCAGCCACACUGGGACUGAGACACGGCCCAGACUCCUACGGGAGGCAGCAGUGGGGAAUAUUGGACAAUGGGCGCAAGCCUGAUCCAGCCAUGCCGCGUGAGUGAUGAAGGCCUUAGGGUUGUAAAGCUCUUUUGUCCGGGACGAUAAUGACGGUACCGGAAGAAUAAGCCCCGGCUAACUUCGUGCCAGCAGCCGCGGUAAUACGAAGGGGGCUAGCGUUGCUCGGAAUCGCUGGGCGUAAAGGGCGCGUAGGCGGCCAUUCAAGUCGGGGGUGAAAGCCUGUGGCUCAACCACAGAAUUGCCUUCGAUACUGUUUGGCUUGAGUAUGGUAGAGGUCGGUGGAACUGCGAGUGUAGAGGUGAAAUUCGUAGA